AGUCAGAAGAAACCUCAUCUGCUGCCAUGAUAAAAGUGAUUUGUCUUGUAGUUCUGGCUGUAGUGAUCUGUGGAUCAUGGGCUCAAGAAACUGAACAAAG